rnacentral:rRNA from 1 species
AACGAACGCUGGCGGCAGGCUUAACACAUGCAAGUCGAACGCACCUUUCGGGGUGAGUGGCAGACGGGUGAGUAACGCGUGGGAAUCUACCCUUCUCUACGGGAUAGCUCCGGGAAACUGGAAUUAAUACCGUAUGCGUCCUGAGGGAGAAAGAUUUAUCGGGGAAGGAUGAGCCCGCGUUGGAUUAGCUAGUUGGUGGGGUAAAGGCCUACCAAGGCGACGAUCCAUAGCUGGUCUAAGAGGAUGAUCAGCCACAUUGGGACUGAGACACGGCCCAAACUCCUACGGGAGGCAGCAGUGGGGAAUAUUGGACAAUGGGCGCAAGCCUGAUCCAGCCAUGCCGCGUGAGUGAUGAAGGUCCUAGGGUUGUAAAGCUCUUUCAGUGGGGACGAUAAUGACGGUACCCACAGAAGAAGCCCCGGCUAACUUCGUG